rnacentral:rRNA from 1 species
UACGUAGGGUGCGAGCGUUAAUCGGAAUUACUGGGCGUAAAGCGUGCGCAGGCGGCGCGUUAAGACAGGUGUGAAAGCCCCGAGCUUAACUUGGGAAUUGCGCUUGUGACUGGCGUGCUGGAGUGUGGCAGAGGGAGGUGGAAUUCCACGUGUAGCAGUGAAAAUGCGUAGAGAUGUGGAGGAACACCGAUGGCGAAGGCACCUCCUGGGCCAGCACUGACGCUCAUGCACGAAAAGCGUGGGGGAGCAAACAGG